rnacentral:rRNA from 1 species
AGAGUUUGAUCAUGGCUCAGGACGAACGCUGGCGGCGUGCCUAAUACAUGCAAGUCGAGCGAACGACGGGAGCUUGCUCCCGUUCGUUAGCGGCGGAUGGGUGAGUAACACGUGGGCAACCUGCCUGUAAGACUGGGAUAACUUCGGGAAACCGGAGCUAAUACCGGAUAACUUCUUUUCCCUCCUGGGAAAAGGUUGAAAGACGGUUUACGCUGUCACUUACAGAUGGGCCCGCGGCGCAUUAGCUAGUUGGUGGAGUAAUGGCUCACCAAGGCAACGAUGCGUAGCCGACCUGAGAGGGUGAUCGGCCACACUGGGACUGAGACACGGCCCAGACUCCUACGGGAGGCAGCAGUAGGGAAUCUUCCGCAAUGGACGAAAGUCUGACGGAGCAACGCCGCGUGAGUGAUGAAGGUCUUCGGAUCGUAAAACUCUGUUAUCAGGGAAGAACAAGCAUAGGAGUAACUGCCUGUGCCUUGACGGUACCUGACCAGAAAGCCACGGCUAACUACGUGCCAGCAGCCGCGGUAAUACGUAGGUGGCAAGCGUUGUCCGGAAUUAUUGGGCGUAAAGCGCGCGCAGGCGGUCCUUUAAGUCUGAUGUGAAAUCCCGUGGCUUAACCACGGGCGGUCAUUGGAAACUGGGGG